CGUGGCGCGCGAUCGAUGCAUGCGCUCGGUCCCUUCGAUGCUUCCCGUAGUUUCCCCCUCGCCCGCAACUCGGUGCAAACACAGACACACGCCGGCCACGCUUUGCAGCAGCAUGGCCUCUCACUGAGGCUGGUGCCCACGAGCCGAGCAGGAGCAAAGGCAGCGGCCAACGCGACACCAGUGGUCCUCCAGCGUCCUGCCCACGCGUCACCCGAUUCCCAUCAACACACACGGCGGCCUGAGGUGACAUCGCCAAACCACAAACCAGCCAGAAUUGAUGGUGUCUACAUCAGUAGCCCACUGUCCCACCACCAACCCCGUGUCUUCUGUCUGCUAACACUAUAUUUCGCCCUUUCCUUCGAGGUGCGUUACGCUGCAACUGACGCCUCAUACGUCUGGCCUGCCAAUUGCCCGUUGUGCCCGCCUUCCUGCCUUCUAUCCUUUCUCGGCCCCUGGAAGGACACCGCGUCUACCCAGGAACUCCCGCUGUACGUUGUAAACCCCCUGGUUAACCCUAAGCUCCCGGCCGACGUGACCCGAGACAGGCGCCUCCAAGAUGGCAGCGUUCGUAGCAAAGCAGAUGAUGGGCAGCAAGCUCAAUGCCGUCAAAGGCCAGAUCGGAGGGGACGGGGAGACCUCGGAAGACAAAGAAGCCGAAGCCGAAGCGGAGCAGGAGCGGCUCGAGGCGCUACGGGAAGCCGAGGAAAGACGAAAGGAGAAGCACCGGCGGAUGGAGGAAGAACGUGAGAAGAUGAGGCAGCAGAUCAGAGACAAGUACGGCAUCAAGAAGAAGGAAGAGGAGAAGCCUGCCGAGGUGGAUGAUUUUGCCGCUGGCAGUCUCAAUCGGCGAAAAAAGACACCCGAAGAGAUCGCCGCGGAAAACGAGGCCGCGGAACAGGAUGAUCUCACAAGACUGCGGAACACCAUCGAGACGCAGGUGAACGAGCUGAAAUCGAGCAUCGAAGGCAAGUGCGUACUGCAGUGAGUGCGGGCCUCCAGCUAUGCAAGCAGCAGGGCGCAGAGCUGCGCCGCCUCCGCAGAACACCGACGACGCAGAGCAAGGCCGCACGGGACGGGGGAGGGCACAGGGCCGCCUUCCCCGGGCCGCCCGCUAGAAUGGAUACUCUAUUUUUCGCCCAGAGGCUCGCGCCCAGCAAAACUCGCGCUCUUCCAGCAGCGGCGGCCUGCCGGGGGCGCGCUCGGAGACACGUCGCCAAGGAUACAAAACGAAAGUACAACGGAUGAGCGCCGGCAGAGACGCGACUCCAGCCGGUUCCCCCAGUCGUCUUCCCCUCGGCAGCGAGGCUGAAUCGGCCAUUGGCCCCCAGGGCGCAGCCUCCCAGCGCGCCCCCCAUCGGAACCGCCUUCCCCUACACCGCCGGGUGGCUGGGACCGCGGGCCGCACGGCUGACCACGGGUUCGCGUCACGGCGCUCUUCCUUAGUGCCCUCCGCGGGGCCUCUGCAGUCGCCGAAAUGUUGCUGUUAUUCGGCGUUAGAAGGCCUCGAGGAGCCCUGUUGAACCCAGCGGAUUGUAGCUGGACCUUGUGAAUUCGUGUCCCUUGUCCCGUGCGUAACCCUCGAUGUCGAAUUACGAAAAGCGAGACUGUAUAGUACUACUGAGUAGAAAAUAAAACGCGCGUGUCCUUUCCGGCACAGGUAAUCCGCGAUGAAUAAAAGACACGUAACGAGACGUCCUUUUCUACCUACUCUGUAUACGGAUUUUCUUGUGUUUUGUAAGAAAUUUGUAUAGGCCCUAACAGAAGAGUGGCGGUGUUUAGCACUUAGACCACUCCAUAGGUUGAAGCAUCAGCAGAGUAGUGAGCCAGCUUUUUUUGGAACACGUCUGCCUUUUUUUUUUUUUCAUGUUUACUAAGACUGAGAGAAUGAAGGGCACCGAUGGCAGCUCGGUGCAUCCUCUGAACGUCGCGAACUAUAGGUGACAUGCGUCAUGACUUUUUAAUCAGCACCUACGAGGCCAAUCGAACUCGUCGAAGCCGUGCGGUCCGCGGCGUGCGGGACAUCCGCACGCGGUCGGGUACGCGACUACGCUUCAUUCCUGGCUUUUCUGCGCCGAAGGCAAAACUAUGAGAAGUGCGCAUGUCUCAUCCAAGUUUCUGGCGUGGGCCUCAGGAGCCGCUGGUGUGUUUUCUCUCAAGUAGCGCAGAAGUCGCACUGGCGCUGUACACUCUGUACGCUGACCACUUUCGAGCGAAGAGCUCGUGCUCCCUGCACGAAGUGAACUAUCACCGCCAAAAAACUCCUGUACUGACGCCGAACUGAAAGCGCAUUUGCUGCUCCUCGUUCGAUCAUCAAAUGCCUUUCGCCUGGGCUCUCGCUAUGACGCUUGUGCGUCCAGCGAAAGUUCUGGCUAACGCCGAAACGCGCAUGCUUUCUUGUGCGUCUCGCCAGUUUUUAUUGGUCUGAAGGCGAUGGUGGAAACCCUCGAGGCCUGGGUGUUGUCCAACACACCUCAGUGCGUCGGUAUUUCCGCUUCACCUGGUGUCCAAUGAGGGCUGGCACGGUGCGAAUACAGUUUUGCCUCGGUCCGCGAGAAGCCGGAAGGGAAUGUAGGCCCGGGACGGAAGCGGUGUUCUCGGACCCGGAAACGGCCCCGACCACAGCGCGCCAGACAGUUGCUCAAUUGGGGAAGAACACGCGGCUGGCCGAGCGGCGGACGAGCUGCGGGAACCUCCCGAGGGAGUCGCCCGCAGCUGAGCCCGCGCAACCCUCCUUUUCCCUUCUCGGCCUGUGUCAAUUUCUUGCUUUCUGUGUACAUAUGUGACAACCUCCUGUAUUGUUGUGCUCUCUGGGGUACGCCUGCCUGCCAUUGUGUGUUGUGCAGUAUUCGCCCCCGAAAUGCGGUGUGUACCCGUUUUGCUGUGACGUAUGUGGCUCUCUCGCGUAUUGGAGGGAAUAACUGUCUAGCAAACAGUGGUCAUGCUUAAAGCGACAUGUCAGCGUGCUUUCUUUUUGUGAGUCUUGCGUGAAUACUAGUCUGUCUCAUUUCGCUCCGCUUUUCUGUGACAUGGAUAAGCCGGGGAGGAGAAGGGAAAAAAUGAAAGGGACUGAAUAUACGUGUCUUUCUGACUUGGACACAAACGGUUCCGUUCUUGAUAUUGUGGGCAUGGAAAUGACAUUGCAAAUUUGGUUCUUGUGCAAUUCAGCUACGUACUUCGACAGUCGAAAUUCAAUCCGCGAAUGUUGCUCGGGAUUUUCGAGGAACGUGGGCUUUAGCUAAGCUAGGAGAAGGGGGAAGAAUACUUACGCUGGGGCAGGCCGUUUCCAUAUAAGAAAAAAAAUGUAUUGGGUUUCGGUGUACAUUGUGUUUAUUCUUUCUUUCGCGAAUCGCUGUGUCGCGUUUCUUGUAGCGUCAUAGCUGGCAGUAAAUAUAGUUGGGUGGCAACACAUCGGCAGUCCCGUGGCGCACUUCCGAGGCACCCGCAAGCCAUUGGGCUUCUCGACGUCUCCCCUCCACUCGCCACCGAGCGUACGCCGCCUGUUGUUUUGUGCAUAUAUUCCAAGAGACGCUUCUGAGUGAAAAAAAGACGCGAUGUAGACGCAGUGUGAGAGCUUAACACAGCACACAAUUGUGGCGAAGCUACUUUUGCGCCGCUUCGGAUAACGCGAAGCGUCGAAGGUCACGCGUGAGUCAAAGGUCUGCUUGAUAGAUGGUCUGCAGCGCGUCUUUGUAUAAUAUAUGUAUGCUAAGAGUUGCUGCCUGCUGGCGACAUAGUUUUCUGGCUCUGUACAGCAAUAACCGGACGCCUGCGUACGCCUUGCGUACCAGCGUGUCGAAACGAACCGUUUGAGAAAAAGGAGCGUAGCCUUGGAAGCAUCUUCAUUCAUUUUGCUAGCCGCCGUUCACCGUCGGAAGCUCAGAGCAGAUCAGGUAGGUUUGCCUUGCAUUGGAAACACCCAAAAAAUGCAUGGGCAAGCUACGCUUUUCUAGUUCCUUGAACUUUUUUGUGUUAGUGUAGCCCUAAGAUAUUGCUUCUAAGCAGCACAUCCAGGUACCUAAAACGGUGAAUGGGCUGCCGAUAUACUUACCAUGAGUGAAGCAACAUUAAGGGCAGAUAGCUCACCUUCAGUACUGCUUGUUACGUCUUGAAAACGACGAAAUAUUUGCUAAAUGGCAGCAGUGGAAUUAGUGAGCAAAAGCAGUAAACUUGGAGCAGCUAAUAGUGAGAACACUUACUAUGCAUAGGUUCUUCGACACAUUAUGUUCCAAAUACGAAAUGUCAGCGCGCAUAUUUCGUGUUAUCAAUGUCAUCAGUCGUCUCCUUGAAUCUCUAAGUCACUCUAUAACGAUCUACCGGGCCACCAAGGCUACAACAAAAUUGUCAAAGCGGAAGGUCAUUCAACUGUGCCAUAUGACUGCUACGAACGGACUUGACUGCCGACAAUGCAGCAAACUCCAGCAGUGAACUUAUACUUAAUAUUUUUCGAUCGAGUCGAUUGCGCGCAGGCAAGAAGACGAGCAAACUUCUCUGCUCGACCAAGCGCUGCUUCUUUCCAAGACGGUCCGUUUCGGCGCCGGCAUCCUUUCUUUUUCCUUGCGUGUGUAAGUGCCUGUAGAUGUAUUAUUUUUCUCUCUGAAGCCUAGAUGUGCAAAGCUGUGAGAGGGGGACCCAUGCAGUGGGACGUUAACCGAUUUCGCCGGGGCGGCGCACGCACGGUCAUGCGAGCACAGCCGCGCCCGGCCCGCCGGACGCCGCGGAGUCACUGACCAGGCCCUCGCCUCGCACCUCUCUUCUCCCUUCCAAACCCGAACUGUGCUGAAAUAAAAGGUAGUGCGAAGAAGAAAAAGCCAGGCUGCUUUGCUCGUCUACCUCGACGUGCGUGCUAAACGGCGGGAAGCGCAGAGAACAACGGUAAGGCAACACUGCAGGCGAACAGCUCCGGGUGCGUCCUUGAUUAAGACAUGCUGGUCCGUCUGGGCGCACAGCCCGAUUAGAACAUGUGGGCCUGUCUUAGUCAAGACGACACGUGUCCCGGCUGCCGCCUUGACUGAGGUGGUUGAACGUGCCUUGGCCAGGACCUCGGUUUAAGGCGCGUCCAACCCAUCUUGUCACAGACAGACAGGUCUGUUUCGCCGUUGCCCCUUUACACAGGAGGGCGCUAAGUAGAUUUAAUACACUUGCGCAAUCAAAGACUAGCGGAGUGUGACACUAAGCUAGAGCAAUGUCUCCUAAGCGGGUUAAAGCAUUAAAGGAAAAAAGAAAAGGAGAGCGAAGCACAAGCGUGGUUCGUACGCUUGGACUUGCAGUAGUACGCAUUUGUUCUGACAUUACUGAAGUGUAAAUCAAAAUUAAGUGCACGCACGAGCUGCAAAAGAAUCAUUUUGACCUCUGGUCCUUGGGCGCUUCUCAACCCUAACUGACAUGCUUAUUCUGGCUAAAUUGACUGUAAUUGUUGUUGAUAAAGGCUUGCAACACGCAAGUUGGCUCGUGGUCUCGGGCGUCAGCAGGGCCGCAAGUGAACCACUGUCUAAAGUAAGUAGGCGCCGAUUUUGACGUGCGGAAAAAGUAACCUUCGGAUCCUCGCUCUAGUCUUAGCUAAAUACUGCGAGCGUAAUUCAGGGCUUGUUAUUCAGAGGAUUCACGGGCGUUGUUUACACCCUUUAACGGCAGCGAUGUGCAGAAAAAUAAGGCUUUUACUGCCGAAAUGAUGCAGAAACAAGUGCGGAAGGGCGCGAUGAACCGUGUGCGAGGCACGGACCUGUCAGCUGUCCCGCAGGCGCAAUGCGCAGAGGAGGGAGCCGCGUCUCUGCGGGUGCCUCGGGAAGCGCGCGCCUCGGUCGGCGUCCCGGGGACGGCUCCAAACAACGAAUCGCGCGCGUGGGGAGCGCUCUCGCGUCUUAGUGGUGGUGUGCGUGCGCUGCCCGGGCGGGCCACGGAAGUUGUGUAAGGGCACCGCUGCAUCGCCGGGGGACGACGCCCAGCUAGAAGGCUCGCGACCGCUGCACCUCCCCUGGCCCUCCCCUGCACAGGUUCCGCCUUCUCACGUCUCAUAACCACAGGUUCAUCCUGGCAACACACAAACAGGAAAAAAGGUCGAUACAACGAGUAAAACGUUAGCGGUGUGUGUGCUAGUGUCUCUAUCUCUUUCGUGCAAGACAACCCCGCCACCUUAACCACCCUUCCACUCUUUGCUGCACCCCUCGUGUUUCUUCUCUCUAUAGAGCUCUCUCUACAUAGGUUCGCAGCUAGCUGGCUUGGAGCUCUCCAAGGCAUUAGGCAAGGCACCGAGAUGCAGUAUGUAGCGGUCUACUUCUCUGCCCGGGCGGACGACGGCGGUCUGCCGCGAGCCACGUGGCCGGGAACCUCGCUCGCUCCGCACCUAGUGUAACACACUUCUCUGUCAGCUUUGUGUAUAGGUGCUUGGCCACAUAAUGGACUCACUAACCGUGUGUACACUAACCAGUGAUUAAAGUUCAGAGUUUAAGCUGGUG